AGCAGCCGCGGUAAUUCCAGCUCCAAUAGCGUAUAUUAAAGUUGCUGCAGUUAAAAAGCUCGUAGUUGAAUUUCGGGAUCAAUAUGUUGGUCGUGCCUUGGUACGUACUAGCUUAUUGGCUUCUCCCUUCUGACGAACCAUGAUGUCAUUAAUUUGGUGUCAUGGGGAAUCAGGACUGUUACUUUGAAAAAUUAGAGUGUUUAAAGCAGGCUCGCGCUUGAAUACAUUAGCAUGGAAUAAUGAAAUAGGACAUUUGAUUCUAUUUUGUUGGUUUCUAGGAUCGAUGUAAUGAUUAAUAGGGAUAGUUGGGGGCAUUAGUAUUCAAUUGUCAGAGGUGAAAUUCUUGGAUUUAUUGAAGACUAACUACUGCGAAAGCAUUUGCCAAGGAUGUUUUCAUUAAUCAAGAACGAAAGUUAGGGGAUCGAAGACGAUCAGAUACCGUCGUAGUCUUAACCAUAAACUAUGCCGACUAGGGAUCGGAUGAUGUUAAUUUUUAAUGUA
rnacentral:rRNA from 1 species